rnacentral:rRNA from 1 species
AACGAACGCUGGCGGCAGGCUUAACACAUGCAAGUCGAACGCGUGUAGCAAUACACGAGUGGCGCACGGGUGAGUAACGCGUGGAUAUCUGCCUUUUGGUUCGGAAUAACCCCGGGAAACUGGGGCUAAUACCGGAUGGUUCCUUCGGGAUAAAGAUUUAUCGCCAAAAGAUGAGUCCGCGUACGAUUAGCUAGUUGGUGAGGUAAUGGCUCACCAAGGCGACGAUCGUUAGCUGGUCUGAGAGGACGAUCAGCCACACUGGGACUGAGACACGGCCCAGACUCCUACGGGAGGCAGCAGUGGGGAAUAUUGGACAAUGGGGGCAACCCUGAUCCAGCCAUGCCGCGUGAGUGAUGAAGGCCUUCGGGUUGUAAAGCUCUUUUGGCGGGGACGAUGAUGACGGUACCCGCAGAAUAAGCCCCGGCUAACUUCGUGCCAGCCGCCGCCGUAACAC